UAGCUGUGAGAUCUUUACCUAUAG
rnacentral:piRNA from 1 species